rnacentral:lncRNA from 1 species
GUUAGUGUUAGUCUAUAUUUUAUAACUUAAUUGAGCAUCACUUAUGUAAUGAUUUGUACGGUAAACUUCAAUUCUUUCCUAAAUUAAACAUGUCUUUCAUUUUUUCUCUAAAGUAAAUAAAUUUUGAAAUUAUUAAUGUUACUUUUUUUUUCGAGAUAUUUACCAAUGUUAUUUUAAUAAAUGCGUUAUUUACUUUUAUCAAAAAUACAAAGGGAAAUAUGAAGACGAUGCCGGGCACGAGAAAAAGAAAAAUGAAGACGGACGGUGUCGUCGAAGUAACGGACACCGUCAGAGAACGGUAAUUGGUUCGGACAUCGGUGACUGUUUGGAAAAAAACGGAGACGGCAAAAAUAAAUUUGCCAGCUGGACAAAUUCGGCGGCGAUUCCUUGGCCCAUGCCCCCUUAGCCGAGCCGCCCUAAUUUUUUCCCCACCGAUGACGCAACCCGAUCACCCUCUCUAUUCCCCCUUCCCCCACCCUCACGCGACUUUCUUCAUAUCGGCGACCUACUCUCUCUCCUCCGAUCAAAAUCAAUGGGCGACCUCAUUACCACUGAUUCUGGCACCCCGAACCCUAUCUCCGCCACCACCCGACCCGUUCCGAUCCGGGAAGACUGCUGGAGCGAGGAGGCUACCGCGACUCUCGUCGAAGCCUGGGGGAAACGCUACCUGGAGCUCAAACGCGGUAACCGCUACCUGGAGCUCAACCGCGGCAACCGCCGACAGAAGGACUGGAAAGACGUCGCUGAUACGGUCAAUUCCAUCCACGGCCUUACGAAAAAGACUUACCGCACCGAUGUCCAGUGCAAGAACCGCGUCGACACCGUGAAGAAGAAGUACAAGGCCGAGAAGGCACGCGUCACCGCCUCCAACGGCGCGAUCCCUUCCUCCUGGCCGUUCUUCGACCGGCUGGAUCACCUGAUCGGCCCUAAUUUCUCCUCCGCGGCGGCUUCUGGCAAGAAGCCGGCGCCGNNNNNNNN